AUGCUCACUUUGUCAGCACAUAUACUAAAACUGAAAUGAUGCAGAGUAAAUUAGCAAGGCGCCUGCAAAAGGAUGUCAUAAAAACUCAUAAAGUCUUAUAUACUUUG
ensembl:snRNA U6 U6 spliceosomal RNA